UGGUUUGCGCAGAGGCAGUGUCGCAUGCGAUGACGUUUAGCGGAGCAGCGACUAUUGCUAGUUGAAAACUUUUGUACUUCAAA
rnacentral:snRNA from 1 species